CCCUUAGAUGUUCGGGGCCGCACGCGCGCUACACUGACGGUUUCAAUGAGUACCAUCCUGUUCUGAAAAGAUCGGGAAAUCUUACGAAUGAUCGUCAUGUCAGGGAUUGGGGCUUGCAAUUAUUCCCCAUGAACGAGGAAUUCCCAGUAAGCACAAGUCAUAAGCUUGUGCUGAUUACGUCCCUGCCCUUUGUACACACCGCCCGUCGCUACUACCGAUUGAAUGGUUUGGUGAGGCCUUUGGAUUGAAGCUAAUAGGCCGCUCUGCGGUUUAUAUGUUUCAAAAAGAUCGUCAAACUUGACCAUUUAGAGGAAGUAAAANUCGUAACA
rnacentral:rRNA from 1 species